rnacentral:misc_RNA from 1 species
AUUGAUGUGUUACGUACAAGAGAAAGGGGAAAGGCUGAUAAGUAGCUUAUUUUAAGUUAAUUAUGGCUUUUUUAGGUUGUUAUGCCUUUUUAUCAUUUCUAUAAGAGUUUUUUUUAUGCUUUUUAGAAUCCCCGAGCACAAUUAGCUAUCGUUAGUUAUGGUUUGUUAUAUAAGAAACUGUAACAUAUGCAGAUGCAAUUGUAAAGUGGGAAUUCAUUGAUUGCUUAGUAGAGAAUUCACCACUAUUCUUCUUUAUAUUCUCCCAUCUUCCUUCUUUAACUAAUUUCAUCUCUCUUAAUUCCUUAUAUAGAAACGUAUUUUGGAGAGAAAUUUGCUAUGCAUUUUCUUGAAAAAAG